rnacentral:rRNA from 1 species
UACGUAGGGGGCUAGCGUUGUCCGGAAUCAUUGGGCGUAAAGCGCGCGUAGGCGGCUCGGUAAGUCCGUUGUGAAAGUCAAAGGCUCAACCUUUGAAAGCCGAUGGAUACUGCCGGGCUAGAGUCCGGAAGAGGCGAGUGGAAUUCCUGGUGUAGCGGUGGAAUGCGCAGAUAUCAGGAGGAACACCGAUAGCGAAGGCAGCUCGCUGGGACGGUACUGACGCUAAGGCGCGAAAGCGUGGGGAGCGAACAGG